UACAGAGGGGGCGAGCGUUGUUCGGAAUUACUGGGCGUAAAGGGCGCGUAGGCGGCCAACUAAGUCAGACGUGAAAUCCCUCGGCUCAACCGGGGAACUGCGUCUGAUACUGGAUGGCUUGAAUUCGGGAGAGGGAUGCGGAAUUCCAGGUGUAGCGGUGAAAUGCGUAGCUAUCUGGAGGAACACCGGUGGCGAAGGCGGCAUCCUGGACCGGUAUUGACGCUGAGACGCGAAAGCGUGGGGAGCAAACAGG
rnacentral:rRNA from 1 species